rnacentral:rRNA from 1 species
UAGUCCACGCCGUAAACGAUGAUUACUCGUUGUUGGCAAUACAUCGUCAGCGACUGAGCGAAAGCAUUAAGUAAUCCACCUGGGGAGUACGUUCGCAAGAAUGAAACUCAAAGGAAUUGACGGGGGCCCGCACAAGCGGAGGAACAUGUGGUUUAAUUCGAUGAUACGCGAGGAACCUUACCUGGGCUUAAAUGUAGAGCGACGGACUGGGAAACUGGUCUUUCUUCGGACGAUCUACAAGGUGCUGCAUGGCUGUCGUCAGCUCGUGCCGUGAGGUGUCGGGUUAAGUCCCAUAACGAGCGCAACCCUCAUCAUUAGUUGCCAGCGGGUAAUGCCGGGGACUCUAAUGAAACUGCCGGUGUAAACCGAGAGGAAGGUGGGGAUGACGUCAAGUCAGCACGGCCCUUAUGUCCAGGGCUACACACGUGUUACAAUGGUCGAUACAAAGGGCAGCUACCAUGCGAAUGGAUGCUAAUCUCCAAAUCGAUCUCAGUUCGG